UUCAGCUGUUUUCCAAGCUCAGAGAUGUGGAAAGUCACGCUUGGCUGUAAGACAGACGUGGAGGAGAGAAACAAGGGACGAUAAUCGCAGGGGAACACUCGUGGGGGGAGGUGGGUGCCUCCCGACGGCGCCACCUUCAGAAUGCACCCCCCCCCCUCCCGGAACAGCACUGUUCAUCUGAAACAGAAGAGAGUAGAAGCUGAUGAAGGGGACAGCGGCGACUUUGUGAAAAUGACACCCCAUGAAAUAAAGCCAAAGGCUCUUCACUUUCAGCUACGUGACUGUGGAUCGCUAUAGAUUACAAAUGAACGUGGAACAAUAUUACUGUAAAGAGAUUUCGGCAGUGCUGCAUAUCUGCGGAUAGUCACACGCAUGCCAAACUGUAGAUCCAACCAUUUGGGGGUUAAGGAAUGAAGUAGAGGAAUAAAAUCCCAUACUGCCCUCGUCCUGCAUCGGAAGUAGCCCUGCUCCGGGUUCAUCCUCGCGUGUUUCUGGGCGAUGGAAAUGCUCUGGAUUGUGCAAACAGCAGAGCCCAUGUGUUAUCUUAGUGGGAGCACCGUGUGCUACCUCUGUCCCCAAGUUCUCUCCCGGGACACAGAUGACAGGGAACAGAGUGCUAAGCUAAAUGCUCCAUUACCAAAUUCAAUCUGUGCGGCCACUGCAGGCGGUGAAGUGAACCUCUCAAUCAUAUUUUUUUUCCAUUUCACUGCUUUACAUUUGACAUCCUGUAUGCCACAACAAACAGGUGACUAUUAAAUGGUAUGAUUUAAUGCGACAUUUUCACUUAUGUAAUAUCAACACAUACUUGACAACAUGACUGGUGUCUGAAGUCUGUUUCGAGCUAAUUGGAUUUAACUGAUAACAAGGCCCUUCGUGUGUGGCUGUUGCUCAGCUAAGCAUUUUUUUAAAAUAUUGCAUUCAGAUGAGGUAGCAGAAUGUUCUUAUUGGUUAUUGAGCAUCAAACCGAUUUUCGUAUAAGGAAAACGAUGUGAUGAGUGUGAUCAGUCAUUGGACCAGCUGUGACUGAUUGACAGCUGGAUCCUUAGAAAAGCAUAUCAAAGAAUAAUAUGAGUCAUGGUUUGUUUUCAACGGUGGUAGCAACCAAAUUAGCCCUGGACCUCCUGCUCCCUGAAACACACACGGUACUCCCGCAUCAUUGACAGAUACAUAUCCCUAUCGUCCGUACCCAAAUCUACAUCCUUGAUGUCAGUGACGCAGGAGGGUGGAAAUUCCUGUCCCCAGAUAGCUGACACAGUGCCGUUAAGAAAUAUCACGCUAACAAAAAUGAUACAUUUGUGUAUACAUGUUCAUUCCAACUAGUAGAUUUUAAGCAAUUAAAUUGGGGAAAAUGUCAGGGUGAUAAACGCCAGAAAACAGCAAAGGACAGACAACAAGAACUCCCAGGAGGGAAGAAAGAAAAACUUUUUGGGAUUUACUGCCAAUGGUCUGUUCCAGCCCUCUGGCCGCAGGAUUGCAGAGUUUGGAGGAACAGACCAGACCCAGCACAUCCAGCUGGACCGAGCCUGGAACAGUGACACAAAGGGCCUGUCCUGGCUCCAUAAAUGGCCAGGGAACAGGGACAGAGUAUCAAAGGCUUGUACCACCCCUGGGACUCCUCCUGUUAACUCCUUGCUGAAGGUCACCCAGUUCCAGGGAAUAGAAACUCACUUAAUCACUUAUGUUGAUGUACAAACAUGACUUCACAGCUUUGCAAAUAUUAAUAAAUAUCUGAAUUUGUGGCACAACUUUAUCACAUCA